UGGGGAAUAUUGCGCAAUGGGGGAAACCCUGACGCAGCGACGCCGCGUGCGGGAUGAAGGCCUUCGGGUUGUAAACCGCUUUUGAUUGGGAGCAAGCCUUUUGGGUGAGUGUACCCUUCGAAUAAGCGCCGGCUAACUACGUGCCAGCAGCCGCGGUAAUACGUAGGGCGCAAGCGUUAUCCGGAUUUAUUGGGUUUAAAGGGAGUGUAGGCGGUUGGUUAAGCGUGUUGUGAAAUGUAGAUGCUCAACAUCUGACUUGCAGCGCGAACUGGCUGACUUGAGUACACACAACGUAGGCGGAAUUCAUGGUGUAGCGGUGAAAUGCUUAGAUAUCAUGAAGAACUCCGAUUGCGAAGGCAGCUUACGGGAGCGCAACUGACGCUGAAGCUCGAAGGUGCGGGUAUCGAACAGG
rnacentral:rRNA from 1 species